AUUGAACGCUGGCGGCAGGCUUAACACAUGCAAGUCGAGCGGGGAAAGGUAGCUUGCUACUUGACCUAGCGGCGGACGGGUGAGUAAUGCUUAGGAAUCUGCCUAUUAGUGGGGGACAACAUCUCGAAAGGGAUGCUAAUACCGCAUACGUCCUACGGGAGAAAGCAGGGGACCUUCGGGCCUUGCGCUAAUAGAUGAGCCUAAGUCGGAUUAGCUAGUUGGUGGGGUAAAGGCCUACCAAGGCGACGAUCUGUAGCGGGUCUGAGAGGAUGAUCCGCCACACUGGGACUGAGACACGGCCCAGACUCCUACGGGAGGCAGCAGUGGGGAAUAUUGGACAAUGGGGGGAACCCUGAUCCAGCCAUGCCGCGUGUGUGAAGAAGGCCUUUUGGUUGUAAAGCACUUUAAGCGAGGAGGAGGCUACCGAGAUUAAUACUCUUGGAUAGUGGACGUUACUCGCAGAAUAAGCACCGGCUAACUCUGUGCCAGCAGCCGCGGUAAUACAGAGGGUGCAAGCGUUAAUCGGAUUUACUGGGCGUAAAGCGCGCGUAGGUGGCCAAUUAAGUCAAAUGUGAAAUCCCCGAGCUUAACUUGGGAAUUGCAUUCGAUACUGGUUGGCUAGAGUAUGGGAGAGGAUGGUAGAAUUCCAGGUGUAGCGGUGAAAUGCGUAGAGAUCUGGAGGAAUACCGAUGGCGAAGGCAGCCAUCUGGCCUAAUAC
rnacentral:rRNA from 1 species